UGAGUUUGCAAAUGUGAUCACGUACAUCCUACAGUUACAUACAGCGGCCACUAAGGGGCAGCAAAACAUUUGUGAUGAGAGCGUGUUGGUUCGGAGUCAUCUCCCCAGAGAGCUUAACUGACCUGGGACCUUUCUGACUUAGUUAAAGUAAUAGGCUCAGUUAGGCAUUGUCACCAUAGCCUACUUUUAAACGGCAUUAAUACAUAUAUGCUAAAAGGCUACCGACCAUCUCUUUCCAAAGGUCAUUUCACCAUGGGUGCAGGUACUCUUAAGAUAAGUUAAGAUAAUCCUUCAUUAGUCCCACAGUGGGGAAAUUGGCAGGGUUGCAGCAGCAAGGAGGAUAGUGCAAAUAACCGAUAACAGUAGUGCAAAAUAAAAUAAGAAAAUACAAAUACAAAAUAUAACCGCAAGCGGUGAUUAACUCUGAGCAAAAUGAAAAGUCCAGAACACACAAAUGGAAGAUAUAUAAAUAUAACACAUUGUCAUAUUUAAGUAAAGAUGUUCCAGUUAUAAACCUGAACUGCAGCCUCAUUCACAUGGUCAAAAUGUCUAUUGAUAAGCACACAACAUCCAGAAAACUCCAAGCACACAUUUCUCAAGUGAAUGAAGGGCUUUCUUAAAUGAAAAUACCUGAAAAAUCUUUGAGAUUCUGGGGAAAUAAAAUUUGUUGUCAAGAACACUAGCGGAAUAAAUAUAAGUAUGACAGAGUUCAUUAUGAAGGAAAAAUGGUUAACGAAGAAGUUCCCCUUAAUGCCAUACUGUGUCUUGGCAGUCAGAUUCUUGGAAACUAAUGAGCCUGAUGAAUUUCAGGUGCUGUUCAAAGUUGUGUUCUUAAACGAGUGGCAAUGACGCUCUAUACAGGAUUCAAACUAUCAACCUAAGGAUCACCUGUACACAGGAUUAUCCCUCUGAGCCACUGACAUUCUUGUACUGCAUCAAGCCUCAUUCACAUGGUGAAUAUGUCGAUUGAUUGGCACACAACAUCGAGAAAACUCCUAGCACACAGUGACUUCUUUCAGACUGGAUCAAAGCUUCGUGGGUGUGUUUCAAAUGUGUCUGGAGCAGACAAAUUACAGCAGUCAAUCCGUUGUGUUCUUCUCUGCCUCACAGGGUCUGGCAAAAAGUGUGUGUGAGCACGUAGUGAUCCCGAAAGACUAUUGGAUAUGUUUAUAUUGAACCUCCUGACCAAUCAUUCAUAACGGUACACAAUUAUUUCACUAAGUGGGCGUGGCCUAUCAGCGUUUACGCUGGACAAUGGAAAGCGUUCCUGUCCCGGGUCACACUUGUUAGUCUGUGACCUGGUGAAGAAAACCUUGUCUGCCCCUCAUUGAAUAUCAAGACUAAAAAGCCUUCAUCUUGUGUACCUCGGCCAUAGCAGUGUGUUAUUUGCUUUAGCCACGUGAAUAUGCGAGUAGCGGGUCGUAGCUGUUCGUAUAACAGUUGAUGUCAUGAAGCCGGACGUUUGAUUCUACAUUUUAUAGGAGCUUACUUCGCUGCUGCCCAGUAUUUAUGUGCAAUCUUAAUAGAGUACACCGUUUUAUUCCGUAACCUGAAAUCUUUUUCUUAUAUUUUAAUUUGUUUAAUUGAAAAGUUGUGAAGGGUGAUGCAUUGUGGGGUGGGUGAUGGAAGGGCCCCAGAUGCAGUUCAUCGUCUUGAACUUUUUUAAGUUGUCGGGGAAAGGUUUUAGUACUUUUUCUGAACGGUUCCAUCUACUCCUGUGAUCAAGAGAAGCAGAAUCUGGUCCUGGUGAUGGGACGAGUGCUCAUCAACACACACACACACACACACACACACACACACACACACACACACACACACACACACACACACACACACACACACACACACACACACACACACACACAAUAUUGUAAAUGAUACCUGCAAAAUAACAUUGCUUUUAAAAACCUCCUUGUUGCGUGUAGUUGUUGUGUUGUAAAUUAUAAGAUUUAUUUUCCAGACAAACUAUAUAUUCAAUAAGUGCUACCAAGUUGUGCAUCUAGUAAAGGACAUGUUUGAAUUUGAUUGUGUGCUUCAGAAGGUUCUUUGUAGGACGUAAGAUGCCGACAUAUGGUGUAGGGGAAGGGGAACUGAGGAAUCUUUUGAGACGAUUGCUGUUUUUCUGGAGAGUAAUAGUUGGACUUCUAUUUAUGUACAGGUAUAUGAGCUUUCGAAUUCAUAUUUUGAAUGCCAUUAGGUAUUGCCCUAUUAAUUCUGAAUAAAUAAAUCGUGUAGAAUACAACACGACUGAUUUUUGUUUUUGUGCAGUUGGUCUCUCUUGGGGUCCCUAGAUACGGAAAAGGAUAGGGCCACAUGUGAUUAUUUUUUCGGAGUUCUGAAUUGUUACUCUCAGAAAAACGAUUUCUAACUUAAAUCAGAUUUCUGUUAUUAAAAAAAGUUUUAUAACAACACUACAUCCUACAGUGACAUACAGCGGCCACUAAGGGGCAGCAACCCAUUUGUGACGAGAGCGGUGUGGGCUUUUAUUAUCGUCUUUGUGUGUGUGGCUGCGUAAACUGCAUAGGGCUAUUAUAGCCUCGACAACAACAAGGACAGGAUAUUGUUUCUAGGAAAGAAAAAUGUGUUUAGUUUUUGAUAGCGUUUCUGGUCUGUUUGACUAUGAGGUCGGUUGAGGUCAAACGGUGGAGACCAAUGCCCCUCCAGUGGAUCUGCUCUGGCGCCAACAGUGGGACCUAGGAGUUAGGAACCAUGUCGGUUGAGGUCAAACGGUGGAGACCAAUGCCCCUCCAGUGGAUCUGCUCUGGCGCCAACAGUGGGACCUAGGAGUUAGGAACCAUGUGAGUACUGCUCUUUAUUUCUGUGUUGUGAACCAUAUUCUGUAUUGUCCUUGUUGAUCCGUAAGCAAUGGAAAAA